rnacentral:rRNA from 1 species
AACUCUGAGCCAGGAUCAAGAGCCUAAUCGGAUCCCGGGCCCGUCGACUGCAGAGGCCUGCAUGCAAGCUUUCCCUAUAGUGAGUCGUAUUAGAGCUUGGCGUAAUCAUGGUCAUAGCUGUUUCCUGUGUGAAAUUGUUAUCCGCUCACAAUUCCACACAACAUACGAGCCGGAAGCAUAAAGUGUAAAGCCUGGGGUGCCUAAUGAGUGAGCUAACUCACAUUAAUUGCGUUGCGCUCACUGCCCGCUUUCCAGUCGGGAAACCUGUCGUGCCAGCUGCAUUAAUGAAUCGGCCAACGCGCGGGGAGAGGCGGUUUGCGUAUUGGGCGCUCUUCCGCUUCCUCGCUCACUGACUCGCUGCGCUCGGUCGUUCGGCUGCGGCGAGCGGUAUCAGCUCACUCAAAGGCGGUAAUACGGUUAUCCACAGAAUCAGGGGAUAACGCAGAAAGAACAUGUGAGCAAAAGGCCAGCAAAAGGCCAGGAACCGUAAAAAGGCCGCGUUGCUGGCGUUUUUCCUGCUCCGCCCCCCUGACGAGCAUCACAAAAAUCACGCUCAAGUCAGGUGGCGAAACCCGACGGGACUAUAAAGAUACCAGGCGUUUCCCCCUGAAGCUCCCUCGCGCUCUCCUGUUCCGAUGCCCUUACCGAUACCUGUCCGCCUUUCUCCCUUCGGGAAGCGUGGCGCUUCUCAUACUCACGCUGUAGUAUCUCAUUCGGUGUAGUCGUUCGCUCCAGCUGGGCUGUGUGCACGACCCCCCGUUCAGCCCGACCGCUGCGCCAUCCGGUAACUAUCGUCUUGAGUCCACGGUAAACACGACUUAUCGCCACUGGCAGCAGCCACUGGUAACAGAUUAGCAAGCGAGGUAUGUAGCGUGCUACAAGUUCUGAAGGGGGACUACGCUACACUAUGUAUUAUACUGCCUCUGCAGUACCUCGAAAUGAGCUCCACCUGGUUUGAGCACCAAAAGAUCUUCUGGCAUGA